rnacentral:rRNA from 1 species
GACAGAGGGGGCAAGCGUUGCUCGGAAUCACUGGGCGUAAAGGGCGCGUAGGCGGGAUGGCAAGUCGGUCGUGAAAUCCUUCGGCCCAACCGAAGAACGUCGGCCGAUACUGCCGUUCUUGAGGGAUGCAGAGGAGACUGGAAUUCCCGGUGUAGCGGUGAAAUGUGUAGAGAUCGGGAGGAACACCGGUGGCGAAGGCGGGUCUCUGGGACGGUACUGACGGCUGAGACGCGAAAGCGUGGGGAGCGAACAGG